rnacentral:tRNA from 1 species
GAAGGUAUAGCUCAGUGGUAGAGUGCCUGCACAGGGUCCUGGGUUCAAUCCCCAGUACCUCCA